GGAACCUUGAGUACGGGGUUUUCUCAGUAAACUAAUGUGCAGGCACCAACUUACAGCAUUCUCCAUGAAUCCUAUUGCCUCCUGCAGGCCUAGUGAAGAAUGUCCUGCCAAAGAGUCACCCAGUUUCUACCAAGUGUCUCAUGUUCUCUCAGAAUGGCAUUAGAGGGAACAGAAGUGCAUCUUGACCCGUGUCUGUAUUCUGUGGAAAAUGAGAAGUCAGAGCACCAGGACCGUACGGGAGCUAGGGAGAAGUGUGUGUUUCAGCCUUGGCAGUGGAUUCUUUGGCAGUUGUGUGGCCCAGAGGGAACCAGACGCAGAGAAAAGUCAAGCCAGUCUCUUUCAGAUACAGGGGUAGCCGUUCAGAUUUCCAGUCCACCGAGGUAGAAGCAAGCCUCCCUCCCGGCUAUUCGUAGAGAAUAAUAAGGUGGCCCUUCUCUGACCUGGGACUCAUCAGUAACAGCUCGACUCCCAGCAAGCCUCAAGGGAUCUAUCUGCCCAUCUUGGCUUCUCCGGCAUUGGGAUUGAGUGCCUGGCACCAUCCCUGGUUCUUCUGCAUAGGUUAAAAACGGCCGACUCAGGACCUCAGGCAGACACUUUAUAACUGAAAUAUUAACCCAAUAAAUAUUAAUUGAUUUUAGGCCUCUAUUUUAAUUAUAAUUAGGCCAAGCAGAUUGGGAGGUUAGCAAAUAGGCCUUACUAGUUAGAAGCUAUGAACCUGCAUAUACCUCCACUGACCCAUGAUGGAGAGACACUGGAGAAAAUUCUCGGUGAAUGUAAAUGGCAGGCCCGACAUGAGAUAAGAAUUUAGGUCUGUACUGUACCCUUUCUGGCCAGGGGAGGUAAGAGAUUCUUUCCUCCUACAGAGCACAAAAUUGAUACCACAGCAACACACCUUGGCAUUGGGGAUUUUAGUCUCCAGGUAUCUGCAGAAACUUGAAUUCCUUGGAAAGCAAAACACUCACAAUUUCUUGACCAGCCUUGCUGAUAAUUUCAUUUCCCAGAAGGCAGAGUAAGCAUUAAGGAGACUUCUGCUCAGGACCCAAUUCUGACAGAAAGCAGUAGGUAAAGUAGAAAUGAUUGGAACCUUGGGGGAAAGCAGCCAUGCAGGCUCCGAGUUUGAUUUAAACAGUGUUCUGCCUAUGCAAACACAAAUGGUUCUAAUGAGCAGGAAAACGGGGAGGAAACUAAAGGAACCAGCACGCCACACGGGGACUUGCUGACAGCCUCUGAAUCUCAAGCAGCAUGUGCAAGAGACGGGGAGAGGGGCACACAAGAGGGAACACAUACGGAAGCAGGAAUGGAGGAAGGCAGCGUGGACCUGUAAGCCCUCAGCAAGACUGGGGCACAGAAUGAGCCGAGGCUCCUGGAGGAUGCUGGAAAGAAGCAAAAAACGCUGUUGCUUGGCACAGAAUCAGGGGAAACAGCAACCAAGGAACAGACCCAGACCUUGACACGGAAGACUAAUUCAUUCAUGAAAGUAGGAAAGCAGAUGCAAAAGAAGUGCAUCCUUUUGUGCAUCUUCCCUUUAGGUCAUCCACCCCUUGGCUCACGUGUCACCUCCUCGGAGAGGACCUUGACCACACCUUUGGAAAACAGUUUCCCCUGAUAUCUUUUUGCCCUUUGACUUUUCAGUCUCCUGGCUGCUGGUGCCGUCAUCUUACGCACUGAAAUGUUUGCUUUCUGUCCCGG
rnacentral:lncRNA from 1 species